rnacentral:rRNA from 1 species
GAUGAACGCUGGCGGCGUGCUUAACACAUGCAAGUCGAGCGAGAAGUUUUGAAAAGAUUCUUCGGAUGAAAUUUAAAAUGGAAAGCGGCGGACGGGUGAGUAACGCGUAGGCAACCUGCCCCAUACAAAGGGAUAGCAUUUGGAAACGAAUAUUAAUACCUUAUGAAACUUAACUAGUGCAUGCUAGGUAGGUCAAAGAUUUAUCGGUAUGGGAUGGGCCUGCGUCUGAUUAGCUAGUUGGUGAGGUAACGGCUCACCAAGGCGACGAUCAUUAGCCGACCUGAGAGGGUGAACGGCCACAUUGGAACUGAGAACGGUCCAAACUCCUACAGGAGGCAUCAUUGUGGAAUAUUGCACAAUGGGGGAAACCCUGAUGCAGCAUCGCCGCGUGAACUAUGAAGGCCUUUGGGUCGUUAAGUUCUGUUCUGGGGUAUGAAAACUGACUGUAACCUAGUAGAAAGCCCCGGCUAACUCCUUGCCAGCAGCCUCGGUUAUACGGAUGGGGCAAGCUUUUUUCGGAAUUAUUGGGCGUGAAGGGUACUUUUGUGGCCUUUUAUGCGUAUGGUAUAAGGUAAUGGCUCAUCUGUUGUUCUCCCUAUAAUUGUGAUGGCUUGAUUGCUUGAGAUGAAAACGAAAAUGCCUACUGUAUCAGUGUGAUGCAUUGUUAUUAUGUGGUACAUUGCUGGCUUUGUGGUUUUUUCUUGUGUUGCCUUGAUUUUUUUUGUUUUUGUGUUGUGUGAUGUAAUGUGUGUGUUUGCUUUUGUUGUCCUGGUGUGUUGCCCUUUGUAUUUCAGUUGUCUUUGCUCUUGUGUGUUGUGUGGGAAAAGUGAAAAGAGUGUUUCUGUCUGUACUGUGCCUCCAUGAUCUCACCCUUAAUUUUGUCUU